ACAGCCACAUUGGGACUGAGACACGGCCCAGACUCCUACGGGAGGCAGCAGUGGGGAAUUUUCCGCAAUGGACGAAAGUCUGACGGAGCGACGCUGCGUGAAGGAUGAAGGCCCGUGGGUUGUAAACUUCUUUUCUCGAAGAAGAAAAAAAUGACGGUAUUCGAGGAAUAAGCAUCGGCUAACUCUGUGCCAGCAGCCGCGGUAAGACAGAGGAUGCAAGUGUUAUUCGGAAUGAUUGGGCGUAAAGAGUCUGUAGGCGGUUUAGAAAGUCUUUUGUGAAAUACUUCAGCUCAACUGAGGCUCCGCAAAAGAAACUUCUAGACUUGAGGAAAGUAGAGGUACAGGGAAUUUCCGGUGGAGCGGUGAAAUGCGUAGAUAUCGGAAGGAACACCAAUAUGGCGAAGGCACUGUACUGGGCUUUUCCUGACGCUCAGAGACGAAAGCUGAAGGAGUGAUUAGGAUUAGAUACCCUAGUAAUUUCAGCCGUAAACGAUGAAAACUCACUGUCGAGCCAAUAUAUGGAGCGGUGGUCAAGCUAACGCGUGAAGUUUUCCGCCUGGGGAUUACGCUUGCAAAAGUGAAACUCAAAGGAAUUGACGGGGACCCGCACAAGCGGUGGAGUAUGUGGUUUAAUUCGAUGCAACGCGAAAAACCUUACCAGGGUUUGAAAUAAUUUCAAAACUUCUUGAAAGAGAAGCCUCCUUCGGGAUGGAAUUACAGGUGGUGCAUGGCUGUCGUCAGCUCGUGUUGUGAAAUGUCAAGUUAAGUCUUGUAACGAGCGCAACCCAUGUCUCUUGUUGCUGUUUACAGUGCUUAAGAGAAACUGCCGAUCAACAUCGGAGGAAGGUGUGGAUGAUGUCAAGUCAGCAUGCCCCUUACAUCCUGGGCUACACACGUACUACAAUGGUCGAGACAAAGGGUCGCUAACCUGCGAAGGUAUGCCAAUCUCAUAAACUCGAUCUCAGUUCGGAUUGUACUCUGCAACUCGAGUACAUGAAGGUGGAAUCGCUAGUAAUCGCUGGUCAGCAUACAGCGGUGAAUACGUUCCCGGGUCUUGUACACACUGCCCGUCACACCAUGGAAGUCGACCCUUCCCUAAGUCGUUACUCGAACCUGUAAAGGACGAGG
rnacentral:rRNA from 1 species